UACGAAGGGGGCUAGCGUUGCUCGGAAUCACUGGGCGUAAAGCGCACGUAGGCGGCUUGCUAAGUCAGGGGUGAAAUCCUGGAGCUCAACUCCAGAACUGCCCUUGAUACUGGCGGUCUCGAGUCCGGGAGAGGUGAGUGGAACUGCGAGUGUAGAGGUGAAAUUCGUAGAUAUUCGCAAGAACACCAGUGGCGAAGGCGGCUCACUGGCCCGGUACUGACGCUGAGGUGCGAAAGCGUGGGGAGCAAACGGG
rnacentral:rRNA from 1 species